CAUGAAGCUGGAAUCGCUAGUAAUCGCGGAUCAGAAUGCCGCGGUGAAUACGUUCCCGGGUCUUGUACACACCGCCCGUCACACCAUGGGAGGUCGGAAAUGCCCGAAGUCUGUGACCCAACCUGAGAGGGAGGGAGCAGCCGAAGGCAGGUCUGAUGACUGGGGUGAAGUCGUAACAAGGUAGC
rnacentral:rRNA from 1 species